rnacentral:lncRNA from 11 species
GGCUCCCAGACAAACCUACUUGUGAACUUAAUUCCAAUACUUUGUAGCAUUAUUUUAAAAAGGUUCGAUUCCUUCUGGAAGUGAAUCUCAACCCUUACCCUUAUACUUAUCCCAACCUUUUCAUUCUAAAUCAGACCUUGAACUGGAUAGUCCCUCAAAUGGAGUACAAUUCGCAAAGGAAAUUUACCCUUCAGAUAGAAGACCAUUCUCCAUGAAAUUGGUCAUGUUCUCAUUCUACAUCUCAAUUACAUCUAAAGCAGUACUCCAUAUCCAGCUGGGAAGGAAGGGACUGAUUCACCUGAGGUCACUGCAAAAGGCUGGUAGCAGAUAAAGAAGUCUUUUCAGUAUGAUGCUUCUGGAUCAGGCAGGCAAAUUAUGGCCGACUCUGCCAAUAGAUGACAGUUGCUGCAGGACAGAAGAAUCCCAGUUUUAUGCUUACCUCUGAGGUCUCCAUGCCUUCAAAUUUGGCAGAGAAGAACAUUCCAUCACCAGAGUUUAAAUAUGAUUAAUCAGCCAACAGGACACAUCAGGACCGGUUCCAUACAUGACAUUAGGACAGUGCCAGCAUUUUGUCAUUUGUCUCAGGCAACAAAAAUGUAUUGAGAUGUAGGACCAUCCCUGAGUGCAGGGGAAUUCUAACAGUUAUGAGUGAAAGUGC